AUUCUCAGGGCGGGGUGAAAUUCCCCACCGGCGGUGAUCUGGCAUUCAGGCCAGCAGCCCGCGAGCGCUUAAUUGUUAUGCUUUUACGCAAUUAAGGUCAGCAGAUCUGGUGAGACUCCAGAGCCGACGGUUAAAGUCCGGAUGGAAGAGAAU
rnacentral:ncRNA from 1 species